rnacentral:lncRNA from 1 species
UGUCCUCCUCGCCCGCCGCUCCGUACAGGGUGGAGACAUUCUUUGACGGCGUUGGUGCCGCCAGAACCGGUUCGUUCUAGCCGCCGCCGCCAUGUUCAUGCCCGCCGCGCACGCUGCCCGGUACAGGCGGUAGGACAUCGCUGCGACGAGUUCGCUGGGUGUCGUCGGUACAAAAUGCCUGGCUGCUGCGUGCCGUG